ensembl:misc_RNA 7SK 7SK RNA
CAAUUUGAGGGUGAUCUGGCUGGGACAUCUGUCGUGCCCCAUUGAUUGCCAGGGUUGAUUCGGCUGAUCUGGCUGACGGGACAGGUGUCCGCUUCCUCCGCCACCGCUCCAUGUAUGUUUCUCCCCAGGCAACGUGCUGGGUGGAAGAGGACCACUUACCCGACGGAGGAGGACCAUUCUUUCGUCAAGGGUAUAGGAGGAGCUCCUGGGCUCCCUGCUAGAACCUCCAAACAAACUCUCGAAGUCCAUUAUUAGAAGCUUUAAAAAAAGAGAAAGGAGACAAUUAAAUGAAAACCAGGAUUCUUAAUCU